rnacentral:piRNA from 1 species
UGUAGAAAAUUUCGUAGUCAUAUUC